CAACACCAGCCGCCUCCACUAUGCCGCCGAAGUUCAACCCCAACGAGAUCAAAGUCGUAUACCUGAGGUGCACCGGGAGUGAAGACAGUGACACUUCUGCACUGGCCCCCAAGAUCGGCCCCCUAGGUCUGUCUCCAAACAAGGCUGGUGAUGACAUUGCCAAGGCAACAGGUGACUGGAAGGGCCUGAGGAUUACAGUGAAACUGACCGUUCAGAACAGACAGGCCCAGAUUGAGGUGGUGCCUUCUGCCUCUGCCCUGAUCAUCAAAGCCCUCAAGGAACCACCAAGAGACAGAAAGAAACAGAGAAACAUUAAACACAGUGGGAAUAUCACUUUUGAUGAGAUCGUCAACACUGCUCAACAGAUACAGCACCGAUCUUUAGCUAGAGAACUCUCUGGAACCAUCAAAGAGAUCCUGCCCAGUCUGUGGGCUGUAAUGUUGAUGGCCGCCACCCUCAUGACAUCAUCGAUGACAUCAAGAGUGGCGCAGUGGAAUGCCCUGCUAGUUAAGAAGCACAAAGGAAAAUAUUUCAAUAAAGAAUCAUUUGACAACUGGAAAAAAAAAAGUUUCCAAACUAGAUAGAGGUGAUGGUUACACAAUGCCAUUAACGUACUUAAUGCUACUUAACUGUAUACUUUAAAAUGGUUAAAAUAGCAGGUUUAAAAGAAAAAGAGUAGCCCUCUUCCAUCAUUCUAUAAGGACAAAGCACCAUUCAUCGGGGGAUGGGAGUCCAGCCCUUCCUGUGGGGGAGAGGGAGGCAGACACCCUUCACCCUCAGACACAGAACAGCAGAGUGUGCAGCAGGUGAUCAACAAACACCCACUACUGAGGAACACACAUGGACAUGGAAAACGGGGCCACUGCACAGGAAUUUGAGGGGAGGGGAGGGCACGUCCAGAGCAGAAGACACACAGCCUGGGCCCGUGGCUGACCACCCCAUGGCCAGCCCCAGAUCACACCCAGCCAAGUGCCCAGAAAACAGCAAUU